AGCAGCCGCGGUAAUUCCAGCUCCAAUAGCGUAUAUUAAAGUUGUUGCAGUUAAAAAGCUCGUAGUUGAAUUUCGGGAUCAGUUCGCUGGUCGUGCCUCUGGUAUGUACUGGUGUUACUGGUUCCUCCCUUCUGACGAACUGUUAUGUCAUUUAUUUGGUGUGGCAGGGAAUCAGGACUGUUACUUUAGAAAAAAUUAGAGUGUUUAAAGCAGGCUCGCGCUUGAAUACAUUAGCAUGGAAUAAUGAAAUAGGACGUUCGAUCCUAUUUUGUUGGUUUCUAGGAUUGACGUAAUGAUUAAUAGGGAUAGUUGGGGGCAUUAGUAUUCAAUUGUCAGAGGUGAAAUUCUUGGAUUUAUUGAAGACUAACUACUGCGAAAGCAUUUGCCAAGGAUGUUUUCAUUAAUCAAGAACGAAAGUUAGGGGAUCGAAGACGAUCAGAUACCGUCGUAGUCUUAACCAUAAACUAUGCCGACUAGGGAUCGGGAUGAUGUUUAAUUUUUUAAUGUACUCUAUUC
rnacentral:rRNA from 1 species